UCAAACCAGGCUACUCUUACAGCGUGUCUUGAGCAGACACUGGGGUAACAUGACAUGAGAAAGGCUAGGAGGAUAAUUCUGGAGGGUAUGGAGCAACAUAGGACCCGAUGUGUGACCUCAGGCUGCGUUCCUUCCUCAGCAGGUGAGAGGAAUGAGAGUCUUAGAGCCCCUUUGGUUCUCUGAUGCGCAAACUCUGAGUGACAGAAGGUGGGAUUAACUCGUGGAGACAAGCCUGGUGGUAACGGGCACCAGGACCCGGAAGGCCUGGAACGUUGGUCUGUCAUCUGCUGGCUGGACUGUGGAGACCGCGGAACAAAGAGAUCAGUGAUCUUGGUCUCUAGAAAGAAGAGCAGCGCUGUCUUCCCAAAGGGAAAAUGCCACCCCUCCUGCAAGGAAAUGUGAUCUUCCAGUUCCCAGCUGGGGAAGGCAGACACACAAAGUCUGGAAGGGACUUUGGGAGCCCUCCCUGCCAGAGGUCAGCAGGAAAGCCCGAAAGCAGAUGCUCCAAGGCCCACAUGUGGCGGUCAGAGAACAACCCAAGGGAGGGGAUCUCUUUCUACCCUGUGGAGAGAGAACGUACUGGCUAGACUGGGUGACGAGCCUUCACCUCCUGAGCCAUCCUGUCAGCCCUAUCUAAUCUAAUCCCAAAUGUCACUGAGCUUUAUGAAUUCAGACGGAAGAAAACGAAUUCAUUUUGUACAUAAAAAAUUAUUAAAAUGGAAAUAAACCAAAGCAAAACAAUAAAAAAAAAGAA